rnacentral:rRNA from 1 species
UACGUAGGGUGCGAGCGUUAAUCGGAAUUACUGGGCGUAAAGCGUGCGCAGGCGGUUUUGUAAGCCAGAUGUGAAAUCCCCGGGCUUAACCUGGGAAUGGCAUUUGGGACUGCAAGGCUUGAGUGCGGCAGAGGAGACUGGAAUUCCUGGUGUAGCAGUGAAAUGCGUAGAUAUCAGGAGGAACACCGGUGGCGAAGGCGGGUCUCUGGGCCGAAACUGACGCUGAGGAGCGAAAGCGUGGGGAGCGAACAGG